rnacentral:rRNA from 1 species
GAUGAACGCUAGCGGCAGGCUUAAUACAUGCAAGUCGUGGGGCAGCAUGAUGUAGCAAUACAUUGAUGGCGAUCGGCAAACGGGUGCGGAACACGUACACAACCUUCCUUUUAGUGGGGAAUAGCCCAGAGAAAUUUGGAUUAAUACCCCAUAACAUAUAGAGAUGGCAUCAUCGUAAUAUUAAAGCUUCGGCGCUAGAAGAUGGGUGUGCGGCUGAUUAGGUAGUUGGCGGGGUAACGGCCCACCAAGCCUACGAUCAGUAGCUGAUGUGAGAGCAUGAUCAGCCACACGGGCACUGAGACACGGGCCCGACUCCUACGGGAGGCAGCAGUAAGGAAUAUUGGACAAUGGACGAAAGUCUGAUCCAGCCAUGCCGCGUGAAGGAUUAAGGUCCUCUGGAUUGUAAACUUCUUUUAUUUGGGACGAAAAAAGAUCAUUCUUGAUCACUUGACGGUACCAGAUGAAUAAGCACCGGCUAACUCCGUGCCAGCCGCCGCGGUAACAC